UUAUCAAUGAAAGACAUAUAUCCUGUAUAUACAUGUAUAUCUUUUCAAAGAAACUAGGCAAAGAUAUUGAUAUAAAUGACCAAAUGAAACUAGGUCCUUUCAUUUCAUACAAUGAACAUAUAUUAUAUGCAUGUUAUAUGAAAGUUAUUCUAUGCUAUGCGCAGGGGCCAAGGGAAGGAAAAAAAAGGGGGGGGGGAG